rnacentral:pre_miRNA from 14 species
CUUCAUUCUCAGAUUUCAGAUAAUCAUUUUGAAAGAACAAAUGAAAGAACCCCAAAUUGGGGAGACUCUCGCUCCAGUCUCGGGAUGGCGGCGUGCCCCAGGAAACUCGAGAAGCC